UUUGAAGCGGCGGUAUAAUGAUUGGAUCAACAUAAAGACUUUACAACAAUAAUAAUAUGAUAUAAUUAUCUUUAUAGCACCAUAAGCCUCAGUCACAAUCGGAGCCAAAACAAAAUAGAAAAAAAACCCUAUAUAUAUCAAAUAAGAUAUGUACUACAUAAUUCAGAAGAACUAUUGUUUAACAAUACAAUCGUCAGUAUUCCCCAUAAUAGUAAAGUUUUCUUCUGUUAACAUCGAGAUGUGCUAGAAAUGUGCUGAAAGAGUUCCUCCCUCAAAUUAUUAUGAAGUGAGCAUUCGAUUGAAAAAUGACGCUCAUCCUCAACUCUAUCAGCUGUACAUUACGAGUAUCUGGCAUUUUUCAAUUCUUAAUGUAAUGGGUGAGCACCGAUUCUUAAUUAACAUAUGCACUACCUUUCUUAAAAUCUACGGAAGCGUAUUAGCGCCACACAUUUUUUUUUUAAUUUUUCUUCCAAUGUUUGCGUUACAACGCAAACCUUUGCGUUAUAACGCAAACAUUUGUUUUAUCUUAUUUCUUAUUUAAGAUUCAAAAGAAACAGUAGUUAUUAAUAGAGGAGGCUGUAUAUAUUAAAAUGUAUCACCAUUGUAGUCAUUGCAAAGUAAAAUCCUUGAAUAAUUAGAUCAUAUCAUUGACUUCAAUAAUGAGCAGAAUAAUAUAAGAAAAUGUGGUAUGAAUGCCAAUAAGAAAACUCUCUAUCUAAGUCACUAUUCCUAAAAGUAAACCAUCAUAGGCCAAAGUACGGUCUUCAACACGGAGCAUUGGCUUACACUGAAUAACAAACUAUAAAGGCCCCAGAAACGAUAUCCUUGUUACUACUAGUAUAUAUAUUACAAAGAAAAUUGAGUAAAUUAAGGUUAUACGGAAAAACAAAAAUCAGCCCUGCUAAUAUAGCUAUAACCGAAUAUAAAUAUUCUUCCAAAGUAAGCUCUCGUUUGAGAACUGUGUAAAGUAGGUUGGCAAUAAAUAUAUAGAAUGAAGAUGUUUUAUUAAUAAAAU
rnacentral:lncRNA from 1 species